rnacentral:rRNA from 1 species
GACGAACGCUGGCGGCGUGCUUAACACAUGCAAGUCGAACGGAAAGGCCCUGCUUGCAGGGUACUCGAGUGGCGAACGGGUGAGUAACACGUGGGUGAUCUGCCCUGCACUUCGGGAUAAGCCUGGGAAACUGGGUCUCAUACCGGAUAGGAGCCAUUUUUAGUGUGAUGGUUGGAAAGUUUUUUCGGUGUAGGAUGAGCUCGCGGCCUAUCAGCUUGUUGGUGGGGUAAUGGCCUACCAAGGCGGCGACGGGUAGCCGGCCUGGGAGGGUGGACGGCCACAUUGGGACUGAGAUACGGCCCAGACUCCUACGGGAGGCAGCGGUGGGGAAUAUUGCACAAUGGGCGCAAGCCUGAUGCAGCGACGCCGCGGGGGGGAUGACGGCCUUCGGGUUGUAAACUCCUUUCGCUAGGGACGAAGCUUUUUGUGACGGUACCUAGAUAAGAAGCACCGGCUAACUACGUG